rnacentral:lncRNA from 1 species
GUGACAAGCUUGUCUGGAAAAGAAGAAUUCAAAGGCUUCGUGGUGGCAGCGUACGAUGAAGACCAGCAGCCUUUUGGAUAUUUUUUGCCGAGUCAUCACGCGCAUCAGAUUCCUCACUGCGACAAACAGAAUAACGCACACAGCAAGAAGCUGGUGACGCUUUUCUGGAGACCUCCGACAGAGGGCGCUCCAACUACUGGCGCCGUUAUAUUCAAGGCAACGGUGGUGCGGAGCUACCAUCAUUUUUGGGUUAACAUCAUCAGUACCAACAGGGCUGACAUCGCUCUCUCUUCUACAUGAUUAUGGCGAAAAAUUCUUGACAACAUCGUAGAUGCGUCAACCAAUAACUGAAGAUUUUCAA